CUGGGAGCACAUGGAUCAUAGGUAAAAUGAAACUUUGUUUAAAUCAAGAAAUUGGUAUGUUAGUUUUCCACUGUGUAAGGGUUAUGUUCUGUGCAUUGUGCUCAAUUUGGCCUUUUGAGUGAAAUUCUCUCUGCUGCAGUGGCUGGUGAUCUUUUUUAAGUAACCCUAAUUCUUAUUGCAUUAUAAUAUUAUUCUAAUUUGAUCACAGUGAGCUAUACUCUGCAUUCUACUUCUGUAGCAAUUCUUGUAAAGUUGUGGCUUGCAUAUACAAUAUGUUGGAAAGGUGAUUGGGAGAAUUAAACUUCAUUUCAUAUGGGUGGUUUACAGCCAGUUGUCAACUUGUUUUUUUUUAGGCUUUAUUCAAACAAAUUGGAGUUAAUUUAUCAUCUACAGUAGCUUGUGGGAAUUUGAGAUCACAUGGGAAGGAUUUAAUGUGAGUUUGGUGUGGGCAGCAUCUGAAAUGACUUUUCCCUGUGUUAUUAUUGAUGCAUGUGAUUUGUGGCAGGCAGCAUUUGAAAUGACUUUUCCAGAAUGACAAAUGGUGUUAAUUAGUGAUGCAUGCGUGGCAUACAAUGCUGUAUAGUUUUCUAUUUGUUAUGCUGCACAAACUGUAUGGUUUUUCACUUUACAUAUUAAUCUAUGUCAGCUUUGAGGUUAUAGGUUCACAAAAUUGCAUCUUGAUUUUAUUUUUCAUUUGAGGGCAGAACAGAUCUAUCAUCCUGUCUUGAUCACAAAAUGCGUAUGCAACCCAGUUCAAU
rnacentral:misc_RNA from 1 species